UUUGUUGUGGGGCCGUGAUGUGCCCACCAGUUCAGAAACCAAUUAGGGAUAGGUUCUGCAAAUAUCUUUGCACAUAUUUUAAUAAACCAAGUGUGUUUAAUACAUUUUUCCCUUUAAUUUGGCAAAGUUUCGAGACAUUUUCAAAUACCAAAAUUUUCAAAACCUGGUGAAUUCUCUAUCCUACCUCACUCUUGAGUUUUCUCUUGAUUUCCUUUCCCUAGCCGGUUAACAUGCAAGCCGAAACAAAUAAAUAUUCAUAUAGCACGUAGGAUGCAUCAGUAUGGUCUGUUAUUUUGGGUACACCUGUCCUAGACGGACCCAACCCCUGUGUUGAGUCCCCAAGGUUAAAUGCAUAUGAUGCAAACAAAUGUUCCUACUAGGGAUCCAGCAUGAGGUUGAGUUAUUCUAAAUUUAAAACCUGGGGUUGUGUUCUAAACUUGGCUUACCUGAGCGGACGAACUCGAGUCGAGGAUGGGGCAACGUACCGGGAGCACGAAAGUCUGCACGACCUUUUUGUUUGCCCAGCCCCGUUCUAUUUGGUAUAACUUCUAACAGAAAAAGUGGGCCACGCGAACGUGUGCACCGUUUUUUAGAGGACUCAGAGAGAAGAGGGUUUCGUAACAGUUUAAUAAACAAUUCAAACAAUAUCCAAGCGGUAAAAAUCAGCAUUUAGCAUAUUAGAUACACAAAAAUACAGUAAUAUCAACAAUAAAGCCAAAUAAAAAGCACAUUAACAAGCUUGAAUUCUUGAACCCUGAACCAGAGAUUCUGGGUUCUUGUCCCCAGAGGAGUCGCCAGAGCUGUCACACCUCUUUUUUACACACCCUAGGGUAUAUGAGAGUUUUUCUAAUUAAAGUGACAUUAAUCAAAAUGGGAUAAUUAAUUAAUUUCAGAGUCGCCACUUAGGAUAAUUUAUGGUGUCCCAAGUCACCAGUUUAUUUUUAAAUCCCAAAUCGAGGAAAUUUUCGACUUUAUUUAAAAGUCUGCGAACCAGAAAUUCUAGAUAAGAAAUUCUGUUAAUCCGGGAGAAGGUGUUAGGCAUUCUCGGGUUCCGUGGUUCUAGCACGGUCGCUUAGCGAUUUAUACUUGGCUUAAAUUGUUUAACUACUCAUUUUAGGAUCUAUGUGCAUUUACCUUUUUACCGCUUUUAAAUGCUUGAUUUAUUCGUAAUUAAGGAGUUAUUUUAAAACGAGUAACGCGUACGUAUACUCAUUUCGUUUGGCACGUCAAGAAUCAUGUCACGCGUACGUGUACAUAAUUAAUCACGCUUUAUUAAUAUUAAGAAUGUUUGGUCGAAGUUGCGCGAACGCAUACCUCGAUUUAUUUUGAAAAAAUCGUAAUUACGUCACGCAAACGUGUACACAAUCACGAUACUUUGAUUAACUAAGAGUGUGCCUGAAUCUACUAACGUGUUCAUGAAUAUUAUAAAAUUAUUUACAGACUAAUAAAAGAGGGCAACUAUAUGAUAUUAACGGGCCUAGCAAAUUAAACAUACUUGGUAAAAGAUUUUCUAAUUCACAACAAACUUCAAUGGCCACUUUAUUCUUGCAACCCAAAUUCUUUCGCCUAACCUAACCAAAAAUCCAAAGGAUCGGCACAUUUCUCAUGAUAAGGUUGGCUCAAAAUUAGUUGUUUUUCACAGCUCAGCUACUAAACGUGACUCAUUAUUUAUGAACUAAAUUAGAUCUAAACACAUUAAAACUUGAACAGUAAAAUAUAUUGGAUAAAGACAACAUUAAAUGAAAAUAAACUUGUACAUUUAACAUGCUUUCAAGUUUCAACCACAAAAAAAAACAAUAUAACAUAUACUAACAAAAUAUACUAAGAAUAAAAUAGUGAAGAAGGAGAAUUGGACCUUCACUAAUGUAAAACCAUCUUUAGCAUAAUGGAGGAACUCCAUAGAAGUUGGAACAAAAGCUACAAAUCGCGACAGACCCACGACCGGAAACCUCGAAUCUCGCCGGGUAAAGCUCGUCGGAAACCUCGACUCGAAACAUAAGCAUGAGACGAACUCGACUUGGAAAAUGCCGCUAUUUAUGUAAAAAAGAGGGACUACUUUAAGGUGUUUUAGAGAUGGUCUUGGGUUUGUUCCAUGGAAGCUUCAAGGUGAGCUUUGGGCUGGUAUUCAUGGCUGCGUUUACAUGGAGUUUCAGCUUGUUUUUAGGUCGUUUUUGGCUGAUUUUCGCUGGGAUAUUGAGUCUGUUUUUUUACUGCGUUUCUGAAGCUAUUUCGGGGCUGUUUGGUGGCUGUUCGGCAGCAGCAAUGCAUCUAUUUUGGAGCUGGUUUUCAGCUAGUUUCGUAGUAGCUUUACAGCGGUUUCGCAGCAGUUUACAGCGGUUUCGAGGUUGGAAAUAGGGCUGUUUCGCUGCUGAGUUGUUGGGGGUUGUUCCGGGUGUUUAAAGGUGGCUUAGUGGAGCUUUUAUGGCUGCACUUCGAUGGCUGUUUGGGAGAGGUUUCAUGGUGGGUUUCCAGCUCGUUUUUCGGCUGAAAAGAAGCGUUUUGGGGUGUUUUAAUGGAGUUUCACUUGGUAAAAACAGUGGUUUACAUGGUGAAGAAGCCCUCUUUUUUAUUGUGAUUGUGCUAUUUGUGUACAGUGAAGAAGAAGACCCUCCAGCCCUUUUCGUUUUGUGUCUAUA
rnacentral:lncRNA from 1 species